rnacentral:miRNA from 1 species
GUGUGCAAAAGCGGGAGAGAGAGAGAGAGAGAGAGAGAGAGAUAGAGAUAUGGCACGUGACACGUGGCUCAAAAUGCACACAAACCCACAUGUACUCUCUCUCUCUCUCUCUCUCUCGCGCUCUCUUAUACACGCGAAAU